CUACGUGCCAGCAGCCGCGGUAAUACGUAGGUGGCAAGCGUUGUCCGGAAUUAUUGGGCGUAAAGCGCGCGCAGGCGGAUCAGUCAGUCUGUCUUAAAAGUUCGGGGCUUAACCCCGUGAUGGGAUGGAAACUGCUGAUCUAGAGUAUCGGAGAGGAAAGUGGAAUUCCUAGUGUAGCGGUGAAAUGCGUAGAUAUUAGGAAGAACACCAGUGGCGAAGGCGACUUUCUGGACGAAAACUGACGCUGAGGCGCGAAAGCCAGGGGAGCGAACGGGAUUAGAUACCCUGGUAGUCCACGCCGUAAACGAUGAGUGCUAAGUGUUGGAGGGUUUCCGCCCUUCAGUGCUGCAGUUAACGCAUUAAGCACUCCGCCUGGGGAGUACGGCCGCAAGGUUAAAACUCAAAUGAAUUGACGGGGGCCCGCACAAGCGGAGGAACAUGUGGUUUAAUUCGAUGAUACGCGAGGAACCUUACCCGGGCUUGAAUUGCAGAGGAAUUAUUUAGAGAUA
rnacentral:rRNA from 1 species